UAGGGAAUCUUCCGCAAUGGACGCAAGUCUGACGGAGCAACGCCGCGUGAGUGAAGAAGGAUUUCGGUUCGUAAAACUCUGUUGUUAGAGAAGAACAGCGCAUAGAGUAACUGUUAUGCGUGUGACGGUAUCUAACCAGAAAGCCACGGCUAACUACGUGCCAGCAGCCGCGGUAAUACGUAGGUGGCAAGCGUUGUCCGGAUUUAUUGGGCGUAAAGCGAGCGCAGGCGGUCAAUUAAGUCUGAUGUGAAAGCCCCCGGCUCAACCGGGGAGGGUCAUUGGAAACUGGUUGACUUGAGUGCAGAAGAGGAGAGUGGAAUUCCAUGUGUAGCGGUGAAAUGCGUAGAUAUAUGGAGGAACACCAGUGGCGAAGGCGACUCUCUGGUCUGUAACUGACGCGGAGGCUAGAAAGCGUGGGUAGCAAACAGG
rnacentral:rRNA from 1 species